ACCUCCCUAGAGUACGCUCCUCGCUCCGCCGCUCUAGAGUUUGAUCCUGGCUCAGGAUGAACGCUGGCGGCGUGCUUAACACAUGCAAGUCGAACGGUGAAGCCCCGCUUGCGGGGUGGAUCAGUGGCGAACGGGUGAGUAACACGUGAGCAACCUGCCCUGGACUCUGGGAUAAGCGCUGGAAACGGUGUCUAAUACUGGAUAUGAGCCUUUACCGCAUGGUGGGGGUUGGAAAGAUUUUUCGGUCUGGGAUGGGCUCGCGGCCUAUCAGCUUGUUGGUGAGGUAAUGGCUCACCAAGGCGUCGACGGGUAGCCGGCCUGAGAGGGUGACCGGCCACACUGGGACUGAGACACGGCCCAGACUCCUACGGGAGGCAGCAGUGGGGAAUAUUGCACAAUGGGCGGAAGCCUGAUGCAGCAACGCCGCGUGAGGGAUGACGGCCUUCGGGUUGUAAACCUCUUUAGCAAGGAAGAAGCGAAAGUGACGUACUGCAGACAGUCCAUG
rnacentral:rRNA from 1 species